rnacentral:misc_RNA from 1 species
UAAUAUCAAGUAAAUAGAAAAGAUAAAGGGAAAGUAUUAAAAUGUAUCAAGUGGUGGUUUGGGCCAUUUUCAAGUAUAUUCAUGUUGUUUGGGUUUGGCAAACCAAUACCAUAUGGUUAAAUCUGUUAACAAAGAAGGUCCCAACACUUUAAUGCAAUUAAUGGUUGCUCACAUGGUUAUUGACGUGGCAGGCGUAAAAAUAAUGCCACGUCAACAGCUAUUAAUAGUAUUAGAAUGUUUGGACCUUCUCCAUUAACGAACUUAAUCACAGGGUACUAGUUUGUCAAAACCCAAACCACAUGACCUUAUUUAAAAAUGGCCUGAACCUUAUGAUAAUUUUUUGUACUUUACCCAAAGACAAAUGGUGACUGUCAAAACGUAACAGAGGUGUGCUUAGCUGUGCCUUGUGACUGGAAAAAGUUGUGUGCCUAGGCAAUGAAUGCACCUCAGUUAGGUUGCCCAUUGGUGGCACAGUGCUACACUUGAUGCUUGUUGAGCCUCUCCUUGAGCAACUAUGAGAAAAUGAAUGCGUCUGCUGAUAAUUUGCAAUUUGCAAAGUGCUGCUAA